ensembl:lncRNA
UUACUGGUCAACAAAUAUUUUUUUUUUUUAAAUGUGUGAAUGUAUAAUUAAAUAUGUAUUAAGAUUUAUGAGAAUUAUAUAGUAUUUGAUUUAUUAAGAUAUUUAUAUAAAUUUUUUCCAAGCAUAUAUAUAUGUGUCACAUUCAGCAUCCACUUAGCUUACUAAUUCAAGAAGGCACAUGGCACAGUUUGGUGGGUAUACUGUGUGUGUGUGUGUGUGUGUGUGUGUGAGACCUCCUGUGCAUGCGUUUUUUUUGUUGUUUUUUUUCAUACAUGUAAAAGGCUUGCAUUUUUGAGUGAUUGAUUAGAUGAGUGAGUAAUGUGUGUGUGAGUGUGUGUUUAACAGUUAACGCGGCAGGGAGUGGACAGAAGGGCCAAGUGUGACAGGUGGACAGGCAUGAUAAGGAGAGAGCGGUGCAGCCCAGCGCUCAGCAGAAGCAGACCCCAGGAGAAUAUCCAGCCAAAAGCAGCUAAUAGCUGAUACUCAUCAGAGAUAGAGCCACUGAAGAUUUCCUUUCUCUGUGGAAUAGUCCGUUCAUUCAGCUCCAGCCCAAAUUCUCCUCCCUAAAAAUGUGAAAAGAUGUUGUUAAUCAAGUUUUAUACAACAGAACAGUUAAUGUUGGGACUGAAGGACUGUGCCAUGAUACGACGUAUAUCAAGGCUUUCUGCUUUACAGAUUUCACAUCAGUGUCUCAAUGCAAACUCAGCAAUGUUGUAACUCCAAGAAGAAGGCAUGGGACGAAAAGGAAAAUUCAGAGGGAACGAGAAUAAUAAAUGCAAAUUAUGAAUCCGUUUACCAAACACCGGUAAGAGCAUAUUUCCUCCUUUUUUUCUAACACCCCAAACCUCACCACUUCCUGCCUGUCCUUUGGGAAACGGCCACACUUCUCCAGUCCGCCUAUGAACAAACAUCUGCUGCGAAACACGGAAGCGUUC